GAGCGCCAGCUUAGACUCUUGUUUCAGGUUGCUGAGAGAUGUCAACCUUCUAUAAUAUUCUUUGAUGAGAUAGAUGGUUUAGCCCCUUGUCGUACAAGGCAGCAAGAUCAGACUCACAGUUCAGUUGUCUCCACAUUGCUUGCUUUAUUGGAUGGUUUAAAAUCCCGAGGUUCAGUGGUGGUGAUAGGUGCAACAAAUCGACCUGAAACAAGAGUCUAAGCUGGCGCUC
rnacentral:misc_RNA from 1 species